GAUGAAGAACGCAGCGAAAUGCGAUAAGUAAUGUGAAUUGCAGAAUUCAGUGAAUCAUCGAAUCUUUGAACGCACAUUGCGCCCGCCAGUAUUCUGGCGGGCAUGCCUGUUCGAGCGUCAUUACAACACUCAGGCCCCCGGGCCUGGCGUUGGGGAUCGGCGGAAGCCCCCUGCGGGCACAACGCCGUCCCCCAAAUACAGUGGCGGUCCCGCCGCAGCUUCCAUUGCGUAGUAGCUAACACCUCGCAACUGGAGAGCGGCGCGGCCACGCCGUAAAACACCCAACUUCUGAAUGUUGACCUCGAAUCAGGUAGGAAUACCCGCUGAACUUAAGCAUAUCAAUAAGCGGAGGA
rnacentral:misc_RNA from 1 species